UACAGAGGGUGCAAGCGUUAAUCGGAAUUACUGGGCGUAAAGCGCGCGUAGGCGGUUAUUUAAGUUGGGUGUGAAAGCCCCGGGCUCAGCCUGGGAAUUGCAUCCGAUACUGAGUAACUAGAGUAUGAGAGAGGGAGGUAGAAUUCCACGUGUAGCGGUGAAAUGCGUAGAUAUGUGGAGGAAUACCGGUGGCGAAGGCGGCCUCCUGGCUUAAUACUGACGCUGAGGUGCGAAAGCGUGGGGAUCAAACAGU
rnacentral:rRNA from 1 species